GGCGCUGCAGCACUGCGUUCUGCUCCUCGAAAGCCACGUUCAUCUUCCGCAGGCGCCGCAGCUCUGCCUCGCGUGCUGCAGGACAGGAGUCAGAGCCCUGGAACUGGUCCUGGAGUGCUGUAGACCCACUUCGUCUCUGGCCUCAUCCCGACCCUUCCCCUCCAUCCCUGGCCUUACCCCUGACCUCAUCUCCCUUCAGACCCGGACACCAGCACCUACGAAAAUCUCACCUUUGUUUUGGUCCAAAAACUCUUCAGUGAAGAUGGGAACAUCAAAGGUUGAAAAGCCAUCGCCGCAGUCCACACCCUGGGACAUGGCAAUGAGUUUGAGCAGUGAAUGUUCUCAGCUCUGAGCGGCCCUGGAGUCCCCAGCUUCCUACAUGUCAGGUCAGGACUAAGCUAUGCCCCACCAUGGUGUUGCUGUGUCUCCACAGUGGUCUUGCCUAUAUCUAUGGGGCACACUCACUGGGGAAGGAGGAGGGGUGUCUAAAAACAUUGGUGUCUUCUCCCUUAAGUCCUUCUGGACAGAGAGGC
rnacentral:sRNA from 1 species